ACGACGCUGGCGGCGCGCCUAACACAUGCAAGUCGAACGAGAGAUGAGGAGCUUGCUCUUCAAAUCGAGUGGCGAACGGGUGAGUAACGCGUGAGGAACCUGCCUCAAAGAGGGGGACAACAGUUGGAAACGACUGCUAAUACCGCAUAAGCCCACGGCUCGGCAUCGAGCAGAGGGAAAAGGAGCAAUCCGCUUUGAGAUGGCCUCGCGUCCGAUUAGCUAGUUGGUGAGGUAAUGGCCCACCAAGGCGACGAUCGGUAGCCGGACUGAGAGGUUGAACGGCCACAUUGGGACUGAGACACGGCCCAGACUCCUACGGGAGGCAGCAGUGGGGAAUAUUGCACAAUGGGGGAAACCCUGAUGCAGCGACGCCACGUGGAGGAAGAAGGUCUUCGGAUUGUAAACUCCUGUUGUUGAGGAAGAUAAUGACGGUACUCAACAAGGAAGUGACGGCUAACUACGUG
rnacentral:rRNA from 1 species